rnacentral:rRNA from 1 species
UACGUAGGGUGCGAGCGUUAAUCGGAAUUACUGGGCGUAAAGCGUGCGCAGGCGGUUGUGCAAGACAGAUGUGAAAUCCCCGGGCUCAACCUGGGAACUGCAUUUGUGACUGCACGGCUGGAGUGCGGCAGAGGGGGAUGGAAUUCCGCGUGUAGCAGUGAAAUGCGUAGAUAUGCGGAGGAACACCGAUGGCGAAGGCAAUCCCCUGGGCCUGCACUGACGCUCAUGCACGAAAGCGUGGGGAGCAAACGGG